AUACAUGAGCAAAAUCUCAACUUUAUUAGAAGAGACGCAUUUAUUAGAUAAAAAGCCAAUGCAUGCUUUUACAGUAUGGAAAUUGGUGAUUUAUAAUAACUUGGCAAAUCGCAAAGUGAAAACAGGCGAUAAAUCAUUCAAGUUUCUGACCUAUCAGCUUUCGACGGUAUGGUAUUGGCUUACCGUGGCAGUGACGGUUAACGGGGGAUUAGGGUUCGAUUCCGGAGAGGGAGCCUGAGAAACGGCUACCACAUCUAAGGAAGGCAGCAGGCGCGCAAAUUACCCAAUUCUAACAGUUUGGGAGAGGUAGUAACAAGAAAUAACAAUACAAGGCAAUUAAAAUGUUUUGUAAUUGGAAUGAUAGAAAUUUAAACCCUUUUUAAAGUAUCAAUUGGAGGGCAAGUCUGGUGCCAGCAGCCGCGGUAAUUCCAGCUCCAAUAGCGUAUAUUAAAAUUGUUGCAGUUAAAAAGCUCGUAGUUGAAGUUCUGCUAAAAGUAACCGGUCUGCUUUUAAUAAAAGUGGUAUCUUGGUGUGUAUUUAGCAAUGAUGUCCUUUGAAGUGUUUUUUACUUUAUUGUAAUAAAGCAUAUUCAGGACUUUUACUUUGAGAAAAUUAGAGUGUUUCUAGCAGGCCGACGCUUUGAAUACUGCAGCAUGGAAUAAUAAG
rnacentral:rRNA from 1 species